rnacentral:rRNA from 1 species
GAUGAACGCUGGCGGCGUGCCUAAUACAUGCAAGUCGAGCGAACAGACGAGGAGCUUGCUCCUCUGACGUUAGCGGCGGACGGGUGAGUAACACGUGGAUAACCUACCUAUAAGACUGGGAUAACUUCGGGAAACCGGAGCUAAUACCGGAUAAUAUAUUGAACCGCAUGGUUCAAUAGUGAAAGACGGUGUUGCUGUCACUUAUAGAUGGAUACCGGCCGCAUUGGAUAGUUGGUCAGGUAAAGGCUUACCAAGGCAACGAUGCGUAGACGACCUGAGAGACGGAUCGCCGACCUGGGAGCGUGGCCGCGGUCCAUACGACUACGGUACGCAGCAGUAGGGAACCUUCCGCAGUGGUGGAAAGCCUGACGCAGCAACGCGGCGCCUGUGAUGAAGGCCUUCGGAGCGUAAAGCUCUGUUAUGGGUGAAAAACAAAUUUCGCCGUAACUAUGGACGUCUUGACGGUACCUAGUCAGAAAGCCCCGGCUAACUACGUG